GGGAUUCUUCGUUGGUUCAAUCGAGGUUAGGGUUUUCCUCUGUCGGUGCGCGAUUGGAGGUGUGUCCUCUAUUCGGCGAGGAGUCUGCUCGAGGAUCCGGUUUCCGAAACUGAUCGGCGUCGGUAGCAGCGACGGGAGCAGCAAGAUGCAAAGCUCGAUCGACGGCGGUUCUCUCUUGAUCUCUACCUCCUUCAGACUCCCUCAAACCUUAGAAGACAGAGCAAUUGCCGAUCGAAGAGUUCGAAGCGUGGGGUUCAUAUACGAAGCCGAGUGGUGAUGGUAGCGGAUCUAGUUCCUUCUCGGAGAUCGAACGUUCGCUCGCUCGACCGAUCGAACGCUCGGCCCUCGGUCCUCUGGUGCAGAAACUCGCCGGAGGUUGGGCGGAUCGGCGAUGAUGAUGCUUAACCGAGUUUGUCUCUGGAUCGAACUCACCAAAACGGGCUCAGACAGCUUCGAUCCUUCGCCGUUCAUUCAAGGUUAUCUACCUCUCUCUCUCAAUCGCUCUAUCUCUGGUUCGACCAGUUGGGGAAGAACAAGUUUAUUGAGUUUCUCCUAGUAAAUGUCGUCUGUUUAGGUGCUGCUGUUGUCAUCGUUGUUAUUAAUUGAUGGAUUUAGAGGAUCUGUUUAGGUUCUGGUUUGGAUUUGAUCUUGAGCUGAGUAGAUAUCUGAUUAAGCCGUGCUCUUUGCUGUGUAAUCGAGAUGAACGAUUGCUGUAUCGUACAAGGAUGGAAAUGGUGUUGGCAUUGAGAUCA